UAGGGAAUCUUCCGCAAUGGACGCAAGUCUGACGGAGCAACGCCGCGUGAGUGAAGAAGGAUUUCGGUUCGUAAAACUCUGUUGUUAGAGAAGAACAGCGCAUAGAGUAACUGUUAUGCGUGUGACGGUAUCUAACCAGAAAGCCACGGCUAACUACGUGCCAGCAGCCGCGGUAAUACGUAGGUGGCAAGCGUUGUCCGGAUUUAUUGGGCGUAAAGCGAGCGCAGGCGGUUAGAAAAGUCUGAAGUGAAAGGCAGUGGCUCAACCAUUGUAGGCUUUGGAAACUGUUUAACUUGAGUGCAGAAGGGGAGAGUGGAAUUCCAUGUGUAGCGGUGAAAUGCGUAGAUAUAUGGAGGAACACCGGUGGCGGAAGCGGCUCUCUGGUCUGUAACUGACGCUGAGGCUCGAAAGCGUGGGGAGCGAACAGG
rnacentral:rRNA from 1 species